rnacentral:rRNA from 1 species
GGCCUGGCUGGACGGUCCGCCCUUCGGGUGAGUACUGUCUGUGGUCGGGUCCUACCUUCUGGCGAAGCGUCAUGGCCUUAACCGGCCGUGGCGGGGAACCAGGACUUUUACUGUGAAAAAAUUAGAGUGUUUAAAGCAGGCUCACGCUUGAAUACAUUAGCAUGGAAUAACGAAAUAGGA